UGUAAGCGUAUACCAAAGUUGUUGCAGUUAAAACGCUCGUAGUCGGAAUUUGGCAGUUCCGGAUGUGUGCACGUCGUGUGCGCACUUCGCGGGGAUUGCUUUUGUGGUCUUGCGUAGGAUGAGGCACUUUUAUUAGUGAACGUCCUCACGCAACCACUUAUUACUGUGAGAAAAUCAGAGUGCUCAAAGCAGGCAUUUGCCGUGAAUGUAUUAGCAUGGAAUAAUAGAAUAGGACUUGGUUCUAUUUUGUUGGUUUGUUGGGACUGAGUAAUGAUUAAGAGGGACAGUUGGGGGCAUUUGUAUUUCGGUGCUAGAGGUGAAAUUCUUAGAUUACCGAAAGACAAACUGCUGCGAAAGCGUCUGCCAAGGAUGUUUUCAUUGA
rnacentral:rRNA from 1 species